UACGUAGGGUGCGAGCGUUGUCCGGAAUUAUUGGGCGUAAAGGGCUCGUAGGCGGUUUGUCGCGUCGGGAGUGAAAUCCACUGGCUUAACUGGUGGCUUGCUUUCGAUACGGGCAGGCUAGAGUUCGGCAGGGGAGACUGGAAUUCCUGGUGUAGCGGUGAAAUGCGCAGAUAUCAGGAGGAACACCGGUGGCGAAGGCGGGUCUCUGGGCCGAUACUGACACUGAGGAGCGAAAGCGUGGGGAGCGAACAGG
rnacentral:rRNA from 1 species